CUACGAGACGCACCAGUGGGGAAUAUUGGACAAUGGGGGAAACCCUGAUCCAGCAAUGCCGCGUGUGUGAAGAAGGCCUGCGGGUUGUAAAGCACUUUCGGUUGGGAGGACUGCUUCUAGCACUAAUAUUGUUGGAAGUUGACGUUACCUUCAGAAGAAGCACCGGCUAACUCCGUGCCAGCAGCCGCGGUAAUACGGAGGGUGCAAUCGUUAAUCGGAAUUACUGGGCGUAAAGCGCGCGUAGGCGGCUAGAUCAGUCGGGUGUGAAAGCCCCGGGCUUAACCUGGGCACUGCAUCCGAUACUGUCUAGCUUGAGUACAGGAGAGGAGAGUGGAAUUCCACAUGUAGCGGUGAAAUGCGUAGAUAUGUGGAGGAACACCAAUGGCGAAGGCAGCUCUCUGGCCUGAUACUGACGCUGAGGUGCGAAAGCGUGGGGAGCAAACAGGAUUAGAUACCCUAGUAGUC
rnacentral:rRNA from 1 species